UACGUAGGGUGCAAGCGUUGUCCGGAUUUAUUGGGCGUAAAGAGCUCGUAGGCGGUCUGUCGCGUCGGAUGUGAAAACCCAGGGCUCAACCCUGGGCCUGCAUUCGAUACGGGCAGACUAGAGUUCGGCAGGGGAGACUGGAAUUCCUGGUGUAGCGGUGAAAUGCGCAGAUAUCAGGAGGAACACCGGUGGCGAAGGCGGGUCUCUGGGCCGAUACUGACGCUGAGGAGCGAAAGCGUGGGGAGCGAACAGG
rnacentral:rRNA from 1 species